rnacentral:rRNA from 1 species
AGAGUUUGAUCCUGGCUCAGGACGAACGCUGGCGGCGUGCUUAACACAUGCAAGUCGAACGAGGUGCUUGCACCUAGUGGCGAACGGGUGAGUAACACGUGAGCAACCUGCCCUUGGCUCUGGGAUAGCCUCCGGAAACGGGGAUUAAUACCGGACAGGACCUUCUUCCGCAUGGUGGAGGGUGGAAAGUUUUUCGGCCAGGGAGGGGCUCGCGGCCUAUCAGCUUGUUGGAGGGGUAACGGCCCACCAAGGCGACGACGGGUAGCCGGCCUGAGAGGGCGACCGGCCACACUGGGACUGAGACACGGCCCAGACUCCUACGGGAGGCAGCAGUGGGGAAUAUUGCGCAAUGGGGGAAACCCUGACGCAGCGACGCCGCGUGCGGGAUGAAGGCCUUCGGGUUGUAAACCGCUUUCACCAGGGACGAAGCGAGAGUGACGGUACCUGGGGAAGAAGCGCCGGCUAACUACGUGCCAGCAGCCGCGGUAAUACGUAGGGCGCAAGCGUUGUCCGGAAUUAUUGGGCGUAAAGAGCUCGUAGGCGGCUUGUCACGUCUGCUGUGAAAUCCCGGGGCUUAACCCCGGGCGUGCAGUGGAUACGGGCUAGCUAGAGGCAGGCAGGGGAGAACGGAAUUCCCGGUGUAGCGGUGAAAUGCGCAGAUAUCGGGAGGAACACCGGUGGCGAAGGCGGUUCUCUGGGCCUGUACUGACGCUGAGGAGCGAAAGCGUGGGGAGCGAACAGGAUUAGAUACCCUAGUAGUCC